rnacentral:rRNA from 1 species
UGGGGAAUAUUGCACAAUGGGCGCAAGCCUGAUGCAGCCAUGCCGCGUGUAUGAAGAAGGCCUUCGGGUUGUAAAGUACUUUCAGCGGGGAGGAAGGGAGUAAAGUUAAUACCUUUGCUCAUUGACGUUACCCGCAGAAGAAGCACCGGCUAACUCCGUGCCAGCAGCCGCGGUAAUACGGAGGGUGCAAGCGUUAAUCGGAAUUACUGGGCGUAAAGCGCACGCAGGCGGUUGAUUGAGUCAGAUGUGAAAUCCCCGGGCUUAACCCGGGAAUUGCAUCUGAUACUGGUCAGCUAGAGUCUUGGAGAGGGGGGUAGAAUUCCAUGUGUAGCGGUGAAAUGCGUAGAGAUGUGGAGGAAUACCGGUGGCGAAGGCGGCCCCCUGUACAAAGACUGACGCUCAGGUGCGAAAGCGUGGGGAGCAAACAGG